rnacentral:lncRNA from 1 species
GGAACGACCCCAAAGAGAAUAUAUAUCACUUAACUAUGAUAAACCGAACUAAUUAGUAAGUGCAAAGAAAGCAAUAAGAAGAAACUUCCUCUAGACAAGAACAUGAAUGGGCAAAUAAAUAAAUGAACGUUUUAAUGUUGUUUAACGAGCACAAAUGCCUCGAGAGGUGUACCUGCAAUGAGUCACCAACAUUGACGAAGAAAGAAUUUUCAUCAGGUGGGACAGAAAACCAGUUGCCAUUUUUGAGUAAUAUUUGAAGCCCCGAAGUGUUGUUGGAUCUCAAUACUGAUAUGAUUUGUGGGUCAGUAUGCUCUCCAAAUCCUAUCAAAUUAUUGUCACUGAAUUGUUGAAUCUCAGGACAAGGGGGAUAGUGAUUCAGCCUGAAAACAGAGUCACUCUUUUCGUCCAUUAGAAGCUUACUGAAAACAUUCCUGGGAUGAAUAUUCAAUCCCUCUGCUAACAUUUCAAGAAUCUACAGAGUCACUCUUUUCGUCCAUUAGAAGGUAUGCUCUCCAAAUCCUAUCAAAUUAUUGUCACUGAAUUGUUGAAUCUCAGGACAAGGGGGAUAGUGAUUCAGCCUGAAAACAGAGUCACUCUUUUCGUCCAUUAGAAGCUUACUGAAAACAUUCCUGGGAUGAAUAUU